UCGACGCGGUUCCUCGCAAGGGGUAACUGAGUGGCGAACGGGUGAGUAACACGUGGGUGACCUACCUUCGAGUGGGGGAUAACGUCCCGAAAGGGACGCUAAUACCGCAUAACAUCCUGCCUUUGAACAGGUGGAGAUCAAAGCCGGGGAUCGCAAGACCUGGCGCUUGAUGAGGGGCCCGCGCCUGAUUAGCUAGUUGGUGGGGUAAUGGCUCACCAAGGCGACGAUCAGUAUCCGGCCUGAGAGGGCGGACGGACACACUGGGACUGAGACACGGCCCAGACUCCUACGGGAGGCAGCAGUGGGGAAUUGUUCGCAAUGGGCGCAAGCCUGACGACGCAACGCCGCGUGGAGGAUGAAGGUCUUCGGAUUGUAAACUCCUGUUGCUCGGGACGAAAAGCUUCGACCUAACACGUCGAAGUCUGACGGUACCGAGUGAGGAAGCCCCGGCUAACUCUGUGCCAGCAGCCGCGGUAAUACAGAGGGGGCAAGCGUUGUUCGGAAUUACUGGGCGUAAAGGGCGCGUAGGCGGCCUGCUAAGUCGAACGUGAAAUCCCUGGGCUCAACCCAGGAACUGCGUCCGAUACUGGUUGGCUUGAAUCCGGGAGAGGGAUGUGGAAUUCCAGGUGUAGCGGUGAAAUGCGUAGAUAUCUGGAGGAACACCGGUGGCGAAGGCGACAUCCUGGACCGGUAUUGACGCUGAGGCGCGAAAGCCAGGGGAGCAAACGGGAUUAGAUACCCCGGUAGUCCUGGCCCUAAACGAUG
rnacentral:rRNA from 1 species